rnacentral:tRNA from 1 species
GGCGGCAUAGCUCAGUUGGCUAGAGCACUCGGUUCAUACCCGGGGUGUCACUGGUUCAAAUCCAGUUGCCGCUACCA